rnacentral:rRNA from 1 species
AAGAUUAAGCCAUGCAUGUCUAAGUAUAACAAGUUUGUACUGUGAAACUGCGAAUGGCUCAUUAAAUCAGUUAUAGUUUAUUUGAUGAUGACUUGCUACAUGGAUAACUGUGGUAAUUCUAGAGCUAAUACAUGCAACUAAAGCCCCGACUUCCGGGAGGGGUGUAUUUAUUAGAUAAAACCAAACGCGGUUCGCCGCUCUCUUGGUGAUUCAUAAUAACUGCUCGAAUCGCAC